rnacentral:rRNA from 1 species
GCAGUCGACGGCAGCACGGACUUCGGUCUGGUGGCGAGUGGCGAACGGGUGAGUAAUAUAUCGGAACGUGCCCAGUCGUGGGGGAUAACGUAGUGAAAAUUACGCUAAUACCGCAUACGAUCUAAGGAUGAAAGCGGGGGAUCGCAAGACCUCGCGCGAUUGGAGCGGCCGAUAUCAGAUUAGGUAGUUGGUGAGGUAAAGGCUCACCAAGCCAACGAUCUGUAGCUGGUCUGAGAGGACGACCAGCCACACUGGAACUGAGACACGGUCCAGACUCCUACGGGAGGCAGCAGUGGGGAAUUUUGGACAAUGGACGCAAGUCUGAUCCAGCCAUUCCGCGUGCAGGACGAGGGCCUUCGGGUUGUAAACUGCUUUUGUACAGAACGAAAAGGUCUCUAUUAAUACUGGGGGCUCAUGACGGUACUGUAAGAAUAAGCACCGGCUAACUACGUGCCAGCAGCCGCGGUAAUACGUAGGGUGCAAGCGUUAAUCGGAAUUACUGGGCGUAAAGCGUGCGCAGGCGGUUAUAUAAGACAGAUGUGAAAUCCCCGGGCUCAACCUGGGAACUGCAUUUGUGACUGUAUAGCUGGAGUGCGGCAGAGGGGGAUGGAAUUCCGCGUGUAGCAGUGAAAUGCGUAGAUAUGCGGAGGAACACCGAUGGCGAAGGCAAUCCCCUGGGCCUGCACUGACGCUCAUGCACGAAAGCGUGGGGAGCAAACAGGAUUAGAUACCCUGGUAGUCCACGCCCCUAGCG